GGUGGGCUCGCGUCCGAUUAGAUAGUUGGUGAGGUAACGGCUCACCAAGUCGACGAUCGGUAGCCGACCUGAGAGGGUGAUCGGCCACAUUGGGACUGAGACACGGCCCAAACUCCUACGGGAGGCAGCAGUGGGGAAUAUUGGGCAAUGGGCGAAAGCCUGACCCAGCAACGCCGCGUGAAGGAAGAAGGUCUUCGGAUCGUAAACUUCUGUCCUAAGGAAGAGAAGAAGACGGUAACUAGGAGGAAGCCCCGG
rnacentral:rRNA from 1 species